rnacentral:rRNA from 1 species
GAUGAACGCUGGCGGCGUGCCUAAUACAUGCAAGUCGAGCGAACAGACGAGGAGCUUGCUCCUUCGACGUUAGCGGCGGACGGGUGAGUAACACGUAGGUAACCUACCUAUAAGACUGGGAUAACUUCGGGAAACCGGAGCUAAUACCGGAUAAUAUUUUGAACCGCAUGGUUCGAUAGUGAAAGACGGCUUUGCUAUCACUUAUAGAUGGACCCGCGCCGCAUUAGCUAGUUGGUAAGGUAACGGCUUACCAAGGCAACGAUACGUAGCCGACCUGAGAGGGUGAUCGGCCACACUGGAACUGAGACACGGUCCAGACUCCUACGGGAGGCAGCAGUAGGGAAUCUUCCGCAAUGGGCGAAAGCCUGACGGAGCAACGCCGCGUGAGUGAUGAAGGUCUUCGGAUCGUAAAACUCUGUUAUUAGGGAAGAACAAACGUGUAAGUAACUGUGCACGUCUUGACGGUACCUAAUCAGAAAGCCACGGCUAACUACGUG